CCCUUUAAAAUGAAACUCAAUUAGCACCCAAUGCACGAGAAGUGUGUGGGGAAGAUGGUGAAGCGGCUCAUUAAGUAAUUAAACCUUUUAAAAGUGGAACCUGGCUCAUCCAUCACAGGUAAACUAUUUUUUUUUUUUUUUUUUGGGGGGGGGGGGGGGGGGGUUGAAAUGCUUAAAGCAUGAUUUAAGUUUUAGGUUGGGUUUUAAAUAAUAAAGCUAAACCACUUUGGUCACUAAAGGCAUUCUAUUGGCAUAUACAAACAUGGUAUGUCAUCUUCAAAAUGUACAUAAAAAGCAUUGAUGCGAUCAAAGAGAGGGUAAUCAAAAGACAGGCAGUAAAAAUAACAUUAGCUAAGACGAAAUAAAAUUUCUCCAAGAACUGAGGAAGUUAGACUUGUCUUUUAAAGUCUAAUUUUGCUUUAGGGCCUUGGAGGCCUCUUUGUAAGACAGGGGCUCUUUUAAAAAGUAAACAGACCUUGCUUUUAUAGACAUACACAAGAGAACCUCGACUGUUUUAAACGUAUCCAUUCAGUACAAAAUUGCACUGAUAUUGAUAUAUAAAAACUUUACAAAACAAUUACUUAAAAAUUUGAAUAGUUAAAUAUAGAAAUUAAGUUGUAAAAAGCCUUACCUUUCAUUUCAUGUUUUGAGGGUUGAAUAUCCUGUGACAGGAAGAAAUAUGACACCCCCAAUAAGAUAAAUAAUUAUGAGCUUCCAAGUACUGAUGAAGUAUUUUUCCGGCUUUUUUAAUAUUUAUAUUUAUCAUGGUUUGUGGUCAGUCUUAAUGAAGCCUGGGGAAAUAUUAUGAGACAUAUGAACAUUUAAUGUGACGAAUCGGCGGCUCGGAAUCAAACCCGUCAUUCAGACGUCAACUGUUGACUUAGAAUAGUUCAACUUCUCACUUUAUACUUUUUGCAUGACAAAUAUAUUUCAGAUAUUUUUCGUUUUUCAUCAAUCAAACUCCAAAGUAAGCCGAGCAGAGAUUUUUUUUAUUCCUUAAUAUCGAAUCAUACCAUAACUGAACACUGUCCCACAGACCACCACCGCCAACCACUACAUCUCCAGUAUGAAUUUAAAAUACAACAAUCACCUGUCUGACAAUGUUACCACAAGUUUACAUCUUGAAGCUUCCUGACAGCAGAUAGGUGGUGGAGAUGUUGUACUGGGUUGUAUCAGAUUGCCCAGGUGUUUCUAAUGUUAUGGCCGGUUGGUAACAAGUUUUGCAUGGUUGGAAGCAAGGGCAACUUUUAGUUUAAGGUCAACAGUUAUCUUUGGUCAGGUUCAGUCUGUCCAGCCAGCUGAAUGGAUCUGCUUCUUUCUGUGAGGAGUCUCACUUUUUUAGAGGUGGUUUUAAUCAAUAACUUAGAGCAAGUUUGCUUAAAGACACUUUUCCCUCUCUUAUUAUGAAAAAGCUGCAAAAUAGAGACUGGUUUGACUCAAGAGAUAUUUUAUUGAAGGACUAUUUCCAGAGGACUAUGUUCACAAUAUUGCUAGUCUAUGAUUCUACAUUUUAAAUAACUUUCAAUUUUUCCAGAGAAGUUUCGUCUGCCUCCUUCAGGUGUCCUUGGUAAGUAACUUUUUUUUUUUUUUUUUCGUCUUUAGCAUGACUUUUACUUUAUUACAGCCCCUAUCUACACCCAAAGUCUUCUCUUACUGUAGUUGGUGCAUGAUGUAAUUGGUAUAUUAGGUUUCCUCUUAAAAUCCUUAAUGAUUCAUCAGUCUGUAUUCCUCUUUGUUUGAUAGCCAGUCUUUGUGAACUAUGUGUUGUUGAGGCUUUUUUACUUCAAAGCCUGACUCACUACACUGUAAUUCAGAGCCACAUAAACUUAGGUGUAAUAUUAAAGAUUACAAUCUUUCAAAGUUUCAAACAGGCCAUAUCAUGUAAUUGAGAGAGACUUUUUAAUAACAAUGCUAAAGAUAAUAGGUGUCAUUUAAAAGAAGUUAUGCUAUCCUGAAAAAGUGUGUAAACCUAUUCAUGCUGUAGAAAAAUGUAUAAUGUAAUCGAGCUUAUAGCUGUGUAAGCUGAGCUGUCCUCUAAUCUGUCUCUUAAGGUCAAAGGUCUGGAUCUAUUGUCCCUCAGGACUCUGUGAGUGAGUUUCCUCUGCUUUCCCA